rnacentral:rRNA from 1 species
UAGUCCACGCCGUAAACGAUGGAUGCUAGCCGUCGGGGCAAUAAGCUUCGGUGGCGUCGCUAACGCAUUAAGCAUCCCGCCUGGGGAGUACGGUCGCAAGAUUAAAACUCAAAGGAAUUGACGGGGACCCGCACAAGCGGUGGAGCAUGUGGUUUAAUUCGAGGCAACGCGAAGAACCUUACCAGGACUUGACAUGCCGGUCGCGCUUACCAGAGAUGGUUUGCUUCAGUUUGGCUGGACCGUGCACAGGUGCUGCACGGCUGUCGUCAGCUCGUGUCGUGAGAUGUUGGGUUAAGUCCCGCAACGAGCGCAACCCUCAUUCUUAUUUGCCAGCACUUCGGGUGGGAACUAUAAGAAAACUGCCGGAGUUAAUCCGGAGGAAGGUGGGGAUGACGUCAAGUCUUCAUGGCCCUUAUGUCCUGGGCUACACACGUGCUACAAUGGCGGUGACAGUGGGCAGCGACACUGAAAAGUGGAGCCAAUCUCAAAAAGCCGUCUCAGUUCGGAUUG